rnacentral:rRNA from 1 species
CGCAUCUGUGCAUGCAGCAUAUCAAUAAGCGGAGGAAAAGAAACUAACAAGGAUUCCCUUAGUAACGGCGAGUGAAGCGGGAAGAGCUCAGAUUUGAAAUCUUCAAGGUUUUACCUUGACGAAUUGUAGUUUAAAGAAGUGUUUUCUGUUGAAGUUUUGGUAAAAGUUCUUUGGAAUAGGACAUCAUAGAGGGUGAGAAUCCCGUAUUUGACCAUUAUUUUCAGCUGUGUGAUACACUUUCAAAGAGUCGGAUUGUUUGGGAAUGCAGUCCAAAAUGGGUGGUAAAUUUCAUCUAAAGCUAAAUAUUGGCGAGAGACCGAUAGCGAACAAGUACCGUGAGGGAAAGAUGAAAAGAACUUUGAAAAGAGAGUUAAACAGUACGUGAAAUUGUCAAAAGGGAAGCGUUUGACACCAGUGUUGUUUUCUCGAAAAUCAAUUAAAAAGAGUUUAGAUUUUGUUGUGUAUUGACCUUAACAGCUUGCAUUUCAAUUUUCUUGCUUUUUUAAUGCACUUUUCGUUUAACAAGUCAACAUCAGUUUCUUUUGUUGUAAAAAGGUCAUUGGAAGGUGGCUUUCUUUUCGGAGAAAGUGUUUAUAGCCUUUGACUCCUGCAAUCGGAGAGACUGAGGUCUGCAGCGUAGGAUCCUUCGGGGUUAGAUACAUUUGUGCUAAGUUAUAGCUUUUUAUAGACAACUUGUUGACUAUGAUUAGUCUUGUAGCUUACUCGCUUAUGCUAUUUUACCUACGCUUAGGAUGUUGAACUCUAUCACACACAG